CAAGCGGUGGAUGAUGUGGAUUAAUUCGAUGCAACGUGAAAACUUACACCCUUGACAUGUCCGGAAUCCCGAAGAGAUUUGGGAGUGCUCGCAAGAGAACCGGAACACAGGUGCUGCAUGGCUGUCGUCAGCUCGUGUCGUGAGAUGUUGGGUUAAGUCCCGCAACGAGCGCAACCCUUGUCAUUAGUUGCCAUCAUUUGGUUGGGCACUCUAAUGAGACUGCCGGUGACAAACCGGAGGAAGGUGGGGAUGACGUCAAGUCCUCAUGGCCCUUAUGGGUAGGGCUUCACACGUCAUACAAUGGUCGGUACAGAGGGUUGCCAACCCGCGAGGGGGAGCUAAUCCCACAAAGCCGAUCGUAGUCCGGAUCGCAGUCUGCAACUCGACCGCGUGAAGUCGGAAUCGCUAGUAAUCGUGGAUCAGCAUGUCACGGUGAAUACGUUCCCGGGUCUU
rnacentral:rRNA from 1 species